GCGCGAAAACUUUACAAUGCUGGCAGCAGCGAUAAGGGAACCUCGAGUGCCAGGUUACAAAUCUGGCUGUCGAGAUGCCUAAAAAGCAUUUCAUAGCAAGGGCCGGGCAAGACCGGUGCCAGCCGCCGCGGUAACACCGGCGGCUCGAGUGGUAACCGUUAUUAUUGGGUCUAAAGGGUCUGUAGCCGGCCGGAUAAGUCUCUUUAGAAAUCUGGCAGCUUAAAUGUCAGGCUUUCAGGAGAUACUGUCUGGCUCGAGGCCGGGAGAGGUGAGAGGUACUUCAGGUGUAGGGGUGAAAUCUUGUAAUCCGUGAAGGACCACCAGUGGCGAAGGCGUCCCACCAGAACGGACCUGACGGCAAGGGACGAAAGCUAGGGGCACGAACC
rnacentral:rRNA from 1 species